rnacentral:sRNA from 1 species
CCACGUACAUGUAGGGGCAUUAUUAAUAAAUAAUUAAAAAAAAAAAAUCCCACGUUUUUGUCUAUCACGCACACGGAAGAGGUAAUAUCUGGACAGCGAAGAUGGGAGGAGGGUAGGAGGAGAGGAGAAAUAAGCACAGCAUACGGAUUUCUUUGACAAUAAUGCGAAGAAGAAAAGCUUCAGGUGAAAGGCGAAAAUUAUAUUUAAAAAAAAUAAAUUAAAUCAAAUAAAAAAAAUUAAAAAUUACAAUAAAAAAAUAAAAAGUUAAAACGGGAAGGAGAUGAGGGGGAAGAAAAGUAAAAAUAAAAAAAAAAAUAGGCGCGCGCCCUCUGCUGGGCCUUGGAAAACAAUCAAAAUCUUUCCUUCAAAUGGUGAUGAAUGAUGGUAUGAUGAGGGCCUAGUCAGCUUGUGGUAGUUUCAAAUGAUGGGAUGAAUUGUAC